AUGGUGGAUAAGGCCUCCUACGUGCUCCACUCCCUGGUGGGCUUUGCCAAGGGCCGCUCCGCCACCGUGGAGGAGGGCGACAUCCCCGUCCUGGUGGAGAUGGUGGAGGUCGGGACCUCACAGCAGAAGGAGAUCACCACGCUCUCCCUCCUCCAGAUUUGUGACGACAACGCGGCCUACCACACCAUGGUUGCCCGCGAGGGCGCCAUCCCUCCCCUCGUCGCCCUCUCCAAGUCCUCCUCCGUGCGCGCCCCAAGCUCAAAACCAAUGCUGAGGCGCUAG
rnacentral:rRNA from 1 species